UAAAUGAGGGCCAAUGUGUUUAAUUUAAAAUUUUAUUUGAAAUUUUAAUGAAAAAAAGUUAAUUUCAAUUCAUAAAAACUGUGCUGUGAACUCAAAAACUGCAAUUGAUUAACCAUUACUUACAAACUAAAUAAAUACUGAAUAACUAAAUCCCUCACACACAAUGAAAAAAAACGCGCUUUUAUUUUGACACGCGCCCAUCCCCCCACAUCUCACGGUCUGACUGGAGUCGAGUUUCACAGAGCAACGCAACAGGAGGAUGACACAACAGUUAUAAGAGCAUUAACAGGUAAACACUGGAAAAUCCUUCCUUCAUCACCUUUAAAGCAUUUUUAAACUUUAAAAAUGUGUUGUUUGUCGUGACUAUUCAUUUUAAUACUGAUUCGGUUACGGUAAUUUGUGUAAAGUUGUAUACGACGUGACAACGCGACAUUGACACAGCACUAUUGCCUCAUUUUAAUAGACUCAUUUUAAUGAGCUGGUUAAUGUUCAUUAAGUACACCACAGUUCUGUAAGUGGAGAAAUAAUUCAUAUUUGUGUGUUUUUCUCUCAGUAAGGACUAACAUUAACUGACUGUCUGUCCUCAACAAAGUCAUUCAAGACCUGUAAAAGUUUAGCACAAACGUUUCCCGCGCAAGUUUGAAUCUCUCUCAGUCAGGGGAGAUUGACUGACUGACUGACUGACUGACUGACUGACUGACUGACUGACUGUCUACACGCCACCAAACAGUAAUUUAUACAGAAACCUUUUAAAGUAAGGACUAAGGUUAACUGACUGUCUGUCUGUCUGUCUGUCGGUUCUCAACCAAAGUCAUUAAAGACCUGUUAAAGUCAGGACUAACGUUAACUGACUGUCUGUCUGUCUGCUCUCAACCAAACAGUCAUUCAAGACCUUUCAAAGUUUAGCACAAAAGUUUCCAGCACAAGUUUGGAUCUUUACCAUUGAGGGUGGCUGACUGUUCUCGACCAACCAUCAUUCACACGCAAAAACUUUAAAGAUAAGUAUGAACGUGCCCAGAGCAGUUUUCGAUCUUUACCAUUAAGGAGGCUGACUGACUAUCCUCUACCACCCGUCAUUAACACAACAAAAACUAAAGAAAUGUUACUCCAUAUGGACCUAUUCAUUUACUCAUUAUGCUGUGAGUACACCACAGUUUUAUCAGUGAAAAAAUUUAUAUUUGUGUGUUUUCUCACUGCUUGGCAAGGACAGAUGUGGCCCUGUUAAAAAUGUUUAAAUGUUGUUUGGUUAAGGAACAGCACACUGAUUUUGUUUUAAAAUAUUCCUGUUUGGACAGUCUGUUAAAGUCAAAGGAAUACUUGAUAUAUUUCUAAGUAAAGUGUAAAUGAAAAAAUUAGUUUUUAAUGUUGUGACUGAACACAAUGUUGUGAAUGAUUAUUUUGGACUGAACAGCACACUUCUGUUUUAUAUCUGAACCUUUUGUAAAAUAAAUGAUUGUUCAUUAAACUCACUGUGUAUUUUAUCUUUUCUGUUAUCAUUUUUUUAUACUAAUGUUUAAAAUUUACCUUUACUCUAAACAAUUGGCUAAACCAACACAAAUACACUGAGUCAUAUGCACUUAUAAUUUAAAGUUUACAAUAUUUAGAUUGAGAUAUAUGUAUAAGUUUUAAAACCAUGAGUGUACCCUGUCAAAGCCAUUUUUGUACCCUUUUUGAAGGGUCCAUAUUUGUACUGUUAAAUAAAGGUACAAAAUUGUCACUAGAGGUACAAAACUGGUCCCUUAAGGUACAAAUCACAAGGGUACAAUUUUGUACCCUCUGCCAAGGGUACAAAAACUGUACCCUUGAGGGUACAGCCCCAGUGACAAGCCAUUGUACCCCUAAAG